rnacentral:misc_RNA from 1 species
UAACUGCGCGCAGACGUGUGAACUGCAGGACACAUGAACACCGACGUUUCGAACGCAAAUGGCGGUCUAGAGUUAAUUCUAGACCACGUCUGGCUGAGGGUCGGAUUUUGACUAAAAACAAAGAUACCUAAGCUUAUGAUCUGAUAUACACAACUCUCGUAAGAGUCAAUGGGAUCUGCUUAGAGUCAAUUUGUUUCAUCGCAGGGUUGAAAAGCCCUGUUAGACUGUUGAAUGCAUUGCUGUAAAGCAAACGGACUGCUGAUUUGAGCUUAUUAUGAAUAAAAUCUGUCAAGUAAAGCCGUGCAAUGCAACGGAAUAAGAAAACAGCUAAGACAGCUGAUUUAAAAUCAAAACUUGCGACCUCAGAGUAGACGAGACUACCCGCUAAAUUUAA